ensembl:lncRNA
UGGGGAGGGACAGGCAGUAAACUGGAGUCAGACUAGAUUAGUGGGGGAGGGACAGGCAGUAAACUGGAGUCAGACUAGAUUAGUAGGGGAGGGACAGGCAGUAAACUGGAGUCAGACUAGAUUAGUGGGGAGGGACAGGCAGUAAACUGGAGUCAGACUAGAUUAGUGGGGGAGGGACAGGCAGUAAACUGGAGUCAGACUAGAUUAGUAGGGGAGGGACAGGCAGUAAACUAGUAAACUGGAGUCAGACUAGAUUAGUGGGGGAAGGACAGGCAGUAAACUGGAGUCAGACUAGAUUAGUAGGGGAGGGACAGGCAGUUAACUGGAGUCAGACUAGAUUAGUAGGGGAGGGACAGGCAGUAAACUGGAGUCAGACUAGAUUAGUGGGGGAGGGACAGGCAGUAAACUGGAGUCAGACUAGAUUAGUGGGGGAGGGACAGGCAGUAAACUGGAGUCAGACUAGAUUAGUAGGGGAGGGACAGGCAGUAAACUGGAGUCAGACUAGAUUAGUGGGGGAGGGACAGGCAGUAAACUGGAGCAGACUAGAUUAGUAGGGGAGGGACAGGCAGUAAACUGGAGUCAGACUAGAUUAUUGGGGGAGGGACAGACAGUAAACUGGAGUCAGACUAGAUUAUUGGGGGAGGGACAGACAGUAAACUGGAGUCAGACUAGAUUAGUGGGGGAGGGACAUUACAAUCAGAUUUUCCCAGCUAGUGACAGCGGGUUUGACUCCAAGUCCUUGACUGCUGGUGUCAUUGAGUCUUGUGUAGAGUACAGUAUACUUAUGAGAUGAGUAAUAUAGGGUAUAUAAACAUUAUAUAAGGUGGCUAGUGAUACAUGUAUUACAUCUACGUUUCCAUUAUUAAAGUGGCUGGAUAGUUGAGUCAGUGUGUUGGCAGCAGAAUCUCAGGGAUCUUUAACUGCUGAGUUGUGAGAUGACCUGCUACAUUUCCAGGAUAUUCAUCUUUCUUUAAUCUACUUCAAGCAUCCGAGUUUAAAGCUUCACAAGGUGUUAUAAGGAUGUAUAAGCCGAG